rnacentral:rRNA from 1 species
UACAGAGGGUGCAAGCGUUGUUCGGAAUUAUUGGGCGUAAAGGGCGCGUAGGCGGUGCUGUAAGUCUGUAGUGAAAUCUCUGGGCUCAACUCAGAGUCUGCUAUAGAAACUGCAGUGCUAGAGUGUGGGAGAGGUGAGUGGAAUUCCUGGUGUAGCAGUGAAAUGCGUAGAUAUCAGGAGGAACACCGAUGGCGAAGGCAGGUCUCUGGGCUGACACUGACGCUCAUGCACGAAAGCGUGGGGAGCAAACAGG